rnacentral:rRNA from 1 species
UACGUAGGGAGCAAGCGUUGUCCGGAAUCAUUGGGCGUAAAGCGCGCGUAGGCGGCCCCGUAAGUCCGCUUGUGAAAGUCAAAGGCUCAACCUUUGAACGCCGAUGGAUACUGCCGGGCUAGAGUCCGGAAGAGGCGAGUGGAAUUCCUGGUGUAGCGGUGGAAUGCGCAGAUAUCAGGAAGAACACCUAUGGCGAAGGCAGCACUCUGGGACGGUACUGACGCUGAGACGCGAAAGCGUGGGGAGCAAACAGG